rnacentral:rRNA from 1 species
GACGAACGCUGGCGGCGUGCUUAACACAUGCAAGUCGAACGAAGUGGCGAACGGGUGAGUAAUACGUGGGUAACCUGCCCUCCUUUUUGGGGUAAGCCUUGGAAACGGGGUCUAAUACCGAAUAAAGGGGGAGGGGCUCUCGGCCUAUCAGCUUGUUGGUGGGGUGAUGGACUACCAAGGCGGUGACGGGUAGCCGGCCUGAGAGGGUGAACGGGCACAGUGGGACUGGCAGACGGCCCAGACGCAGCCGGGGGGCAGCAGUGGGGGAUAUUGCAGAAUGGGCGAAAGACUGAUGCAGCGACGCCGCGUAGGGGAUGAAGGCUUUCGGGUUGUAAACCUUUGGAGCUAUCGAAGGGGUAGGUACAGAAUAAGCGCCGGCUAACUACGUGCCAGCAGCCGCGGUAAUUC